UACGAAGGGGGCUAGCGUUGCUCGGAAUUACUGGGCGUAAAGCGCACGUAGGCGGCUUUCUAUGUCGGGGGUGAAAUCCUGGAGCUCAACUCCAGAACUGCCUUCGAUACUGGAGAGCUUGAGUCCGGGAGAGGUGAGUGGAACUGCGAGUGUAGAGGUGAAAUUCGUAGAUAUUCGCAAGAACACCAGUGGCGAAGGCGGCUCACUGGCCCGGUACUGACGCUGAGGUGCGAAAGCGUGGGGAGCGAACAGG
rnacentral:rRNA from 1 species